rfam:Xiphophorus maculatus strain JP 163 A Contig9467.1, whole genome shotgun sequence.
GGGGAAUUAGCUCAAGUGGUAGAGCGCUCGCUUAGCAUGUGAGAGGAAGCGGGAUCGAUACCUGCAUUCUCCA